GCAUUUCUCCUGGGCACACCCAGGAGAAUUAUAUAUAUAGAUUCCUGUCUUCUUCUUUUUUAAUCAGAGCACUUCUACCCAAACCCCAACAGGGGGCGACCAACCAGUACUCAAAUCAAUCACCCCUCCCAGCUGCCACACCUCCCAGCUAAGCCACCACCCAACCCAGGCCUUAAUCCCCAGGCCCAGAACACUUCUACCCAAGCCCCAACAGGGGGGCAACCAACCAGAAUGUGGCCCACUCUGCAGGCCAAGCCAGGCCUCACAAGCCCUGAUGGGUGAUACACAAGCAGAACAUAAGUGAAGGCAAAGAAGCACUCAUACUAGGCAGCAGAUCUGCGACCCAACAUCAGAUGACCAGAGAGAGAUCCUGAGUGCUUCACUUUUUCUCUGUCCCUCUUUCUCUUUCUCUGCUGCUAAACUACUGUUUCUUUUCUCUCCCCACCCCCCCACUCAGCUGAAGGGAUGUCCCAUCUCUUACAGGUAUCUCAUUCAAGACAGAGAGAUCCUCAGCUAUCAGGACACUAUCUCCCCACCAUUAGUUCCCACUGACAAAAUGUCAGCUGACCAUCCUGGACGAUUAACCCUCAAUCUGCUGAUCAAAGGAAUGUUCAGCCAGCAUAUGUAACAAUAAAAAAGAGGAAUAGAUGUGCAGUAUAAUCCUAUGUUCAUUUUCAGGUUUAGGAAAAUGUAAUGGAAAAGAGAGAAUCCCAACAACUGAGCAUUCCAUCAUUUCCUUGCUUUCCUGCACAGGGAAACAUUUGCUCUUUCCAUAGAUUUCUUCCAGGUUCAAAUGUUCAAGCUGUCCUUUCAAUGAACCCACCAUUUAUGGGAAACUCUUUUUAACCCAUAUAUAAUGCAUGAAGAAAUCUGUACACAAUAACCUUAGGUGCGGAUGAUGGCAUGUGGCAGAAUGUUAGAACCAUGAAAGCAUUGAAACACCCUGACUGUCUCAAGGGUCGAAAAGCUAGUGCCAUGUUCAAUCUGGAGCAAACGACAAAUUCUAACAUAUUUCCGAAAUUACAUUAAACACAAAAGUAAAUAUUAUUCCAGGAAGAUGUGGAGCCCAUUAAGAUAUUUCUGGAACUUCUCAGUCUCUAAGCUUUGCAAGGAAAUCGCACAAUGAGGUGAAAUCCUUGCCAUUCUUCUUUGGUUCCUUGUUUCAUUUUAUUUUUCCCCUCUAUAUGGCAAAAUAAAGCAAUGUGCCACAAAAAAUGCACUUUUUGAUAGAAA